UACGGAGGGGGCUAGCGUUGUUCGGAAUUACUGGGCGUAAGGCGCACGUAGGCGGAUGUUUCAGUCGGGGGUGAAAUCCCGGGGCUCAACCGCGGAAUGGCCUUGGAUACUGGACGUCUGGAGGUCGGGAGAGGCGAGUGGAAUUCCGAGUGUAGAGGUGAAAUUCGUAGAUAUUCGGAGGAACACCAGUGGCGAAGGCGGCUCGCUGGGCCGAUACUGACGCUGAGGUGCGAAAGCGUGGGGAGCAAACAGG
rnacentral:rRNA from 1 species